rnacentral:tRNA from 1 species
AUUAACUUGGCAGAAAUUUAGUGCUAUAGAUUUAGAAUCUUCAAAUAUAAUGUAAAAGUUUUAGUUAAUA